GAUGAAGAACGUAGCGAAAUGCGAUACUUGGUGUGAAUUGCAGAAUCCCGUGAACCAUCGAGUCUUUGAACGCAAGUUGCGCCCGAAGCCACUAGGCCGAGGGCACGCCUGCCUGGGCGUCACACGCCGUUGCCCCCCCAUCUACUCCUUCGGGAUUGCGGGGGGGCGGAUGAUGGCCUCCCGUGCGCCUAGCCGCGCGGUUGGCAUAAAUACCAAGUCCUCGGCGACGCACGCCACGACAAUCGGUGGUUGCGAAACCUCGGUUGCCCGUCGUGUGCGUUCGUCGCGCAUCGAGGGCUCGAAAAAAUGCUCGGCUCCGGCUGGGCUUUCAACGCGACCCCAGGUCAGGCGGGGUUACCCGCUGAAUUUAAGCAUAUCAAUAAGCGGAAGGA
rnacentral:misc_RNA from 1 species